rnacentral:misc_RNA from 1 species
GCACUAUUUUGCCAUUGCAUUCCUCUUAUUUAAAAAAAGUGUUUGGAGAUUUUAUACACAAUAAUCCGUAUGGAUUAUUACCGAAUAUUUGGACAAUUAAUAAUUUACCAUAACCUAAUUGAGAAAUUUCAUUUACAGUUAACAAAUUAUAAAUAAUUAUUUUAAGAUAAUUAUUCUUAACUAUGAUAAUUUAUAUUUUAAUUGUUUAAUCGUAAAUCUUAUAAUUAAUUCCCACCAGAGAGAGUGAGGCGAUUUUUUUUUUUUUUUUUUUU